rnacentral:tRNA from 1 species
GCGCUCGUAGCUCAGCUGGAUAGAGCAUCGGAUUUCGAUUCCGAGGGUCGGGAGUUCGAAUCUCUCCGAGCGCACCA